AGAGGCCUCGCGAGGCAGGGCUAGAAGCUGUGGCCUCACCCUUGAGGCCCGGGCACUUCCCGUCUCCUCCCUUGCUCCCCUUCCUCACCCCAAUCCCUACAGCCUCCCGCGCAGCCUGAGCUCUAGGAUUGUGGGUUUUCCAUCCUCCGAAGACAUCACCUUUGCUCAUCUCCCAGGAGAGUCUCGUCCAAAGGAGGGGGGUGCUUUCUGCUUCAGCAGAUCCCACCCCACCCUGGGAUCCGAGGGAGCAAUGGUGGGGCGAGUGAGGGUCUGCCGUAAAUAUCCCCCGACCACCCUCUGGGAAGGUGCUAGAGGCCACAGGCAAAUUUCAGUCUCCCCAUGGAAUAUCUGCUGUGCUGCUGCUGCUGCUGCUGCUGAACUCUUAGGGUCACCUGGAGCACCUUGGGAGCCAGAGAUGCAGCCAAAGAGUGAACAAUGGUACCAAUCCCAAGACCCAUGUGUUAAGAAGAAACCAGCCAAGACUCAGAUCAGGAUUGGGGAGUCCACCCCUCGUUUCCCUUCAGAGCAUUAUUUCCUUGUUUGCUAAGAGGGGCAGGAACUGGAAAACUCAGGCUAGCCCAUCUGAGAAGACUUUCCUGGAGAUGAGCUGGAGGAGGGAGGAGUAAGGCCUUGGAAGGAAACUCCAGGACAGCACCACCUCCCCUACACUGGGACCUCGUCUCUAACUGGCAGAGUGGUCAAUGAAAAAAAGGGCAUGCCUUGGCACAUCAUGGUCAAACUGCUAAAAGCCAAAGACAAGAGAAAAUCUUUUCUUUUUUUUAAUCCCAUCCUAAAGACUAGACAGAACAAUAUUUUCAAUGUCACUCUUUUCUCAUCAAAACCAAUAUAGACCAGAAGACAGUGGAAUAUCUCUAAAAUGCUGAAGGAAAAAAAAAGUCAACUCAGAAUUGUUUUUCUAGUGAAAGUAUUCUUCCAGAAUGAAGAUGAAAUAAAGCUAUUUUCAGAUAAAAGAAAACAGAGAUUCUUGUCGCCAGCAGACCUCCACUAUGAGAAGCGCUAAAGAAAGUUCUUUAGGACGGGCACGAUAGCUCACGCCUAUAAUCCCAGCAUUUUGGGAGGCCAAGGUGGGAGGAUUGCUUGAGCUCGGAAGAUGGAGGCUGCAGUGAGCCAUGACGGUGCCACUGCACUCCAGCUUGGGUGACAGAGUGAGACGCUGUCUCAAAUUGGAAGAGCAGAGCUGCAGACAGGAAUAAGAAGAACGGUAAAUUUGAAGAUGGGACCGUCUAGUUGCAAGAAAACAAGCUCAGGGCUCCCACUGAUUCUACAUUACGGGCUGUGGGUUCCUUGAGGGAGGAAUUUUGUCCUGCAGGCUGUGGCAGCCCUAGGACUCAGCACAUCUAGGUGUCCACCUGCGUCUGUGGAAGAAGAAGAAGAAGAGGAGGAGGAGGAGGAGGAAGAAGAAAGAUGGUGAGAUAUCCUGCAGGAGACCAGGGCCAGGAGGGUGGAGGCCUCUCAAGAAGAGGGAAGCAUGAGGAAGCUCCAGGGCAGGAUGGUUUACCUGCCUGGACAGCAAGAUGAUGGCUACACUAGCCCCCAUUCUCUGGGCGCCUGGAUUUGCCCACCAGAUCUCCUCACCUCUUGCCCUUCACCUCCUGCUGUACCUACAAGGUCUCCCCGAUUCUCAUCUGCCCAUAAUCAUGGACACAGCCCCAGGAUGUGCAGGGUGAGUCCCCAGGGACCCUGAAAGCAUGGGUACUCUUAUGACUGAGGGCGUUACACCAGGGAGAGGGAGCCGGGGAGACUUCCCAGAGAGCUGGUUGGGGGUUAUGAAAGUGGCCUCACGGCUGAUGCGGUGGCUAACACCUGUAAUCCCAGCACUUUGGGAGGCUGAGGCGGGCAGAUUGCUUGAGGUCAGGAGUUCGAGAUCAGCCUGGCCAACAUGGUGAAACCCAGUCUUUACUAAAAAUACAAAAAAAUUACGUGGGCCUGGUGGCACGUGCCUGUAGUGCCGGCUACUCAGGAGGCUGAGGCACAAGAAUCACUUGAACCUGGGAGGCGGAGGCUGCAGUGAGCCGAGAUUGCACCACUGCACUCCAGCCUGGGCGGCAGAGCAAGAUUCUGUCUC
rnacentral:lncRNA from 10 species